GACGAACGCUGGCGGCGCGCCUAACACAUGCAAGUCGAACGAGCGAGAGAGAGCUUGCUUUCUCGAGCGAGUGGCGAACGGGUGAGUAACGCGUGAGGAACCUGCCUCAAAGAGGGGGACAACAGUUGGAAACGACUGCUAAUACCGCAUAAGCCCACGGCUCGGCAUCGAGCAGGGGGAAAAUGAGCAAUCCGCUUUGAGAUGGCCUCGCUUCCGAUUAGCUUGUUGGUGGGGUAACGGCCCACCAAGGCGACGAUCGGUAGCCGGAAUGAGAGGUUGAACGGGCACAUUGGGACUGAGACACGGCCCAGACUCCUACGGGAGGCAGCAGUGGGGAAUAUUGCACAAUGGGGGAAAGCCUGAUGAAGCGAGGCCGCGUGGAGGAAGAAGGUCUUCGGAUUGGAAACUCAUGUUGUAGGGGAAGAUAAUGACGGUACCCAACAAGGAAGUGACGGCUAACUACGUG
rnacentral:rRNA from 1 species